ACUAGACCGUAUGUACCCAGUCCCUCCCUGUGGAAGUUCGGGUCCGGAUCCUAGACCGGCGCUUAUAUCGAAGGUCCACUUUCUCCAUUUUGCAGCCAUUAUUGCCUUGGUUACCUUCCUCAUAACGGUGGUCAUCAGUAUCUUUACAACGGCACAGCCUGAAGAAAAGUUGGGCCGCGUUACUUGGUGGACAAGGAAGGUAAAGGCACUUCCUUACUGGAUAACACAAAACAAAGCAGAUGAACCGUCGUCUGAGAGGCAAAACGAUACCAAGCCAAAGAGGGUUCAUAUGUGUCGUGAGUUUUUCUGCCGCUGGAUAUUCGGUAUAGACACGAAUGACCGGCCACAAACCCACGAAAUGGAAACAGGCAACAUAAAUAAUACUUCAAUUAAAGAAGAUGUCUUCUGGACAAGAGUCGUGGACAUCGCCGCUAUUCUGUUCGCCAGUGUAACGGCUUUUGCGUUUGGAUUCUUCGCCUAAAGACGCCAAAGACUAUCACAAAAUUUACCACAUUUAAUAAAUCUUCUCUUGGAAACUGUAACAACUCUACCAGGCUACGAAUUCAAAAUCGUUUUAUGUUUAACAUUUGUUGCUUAACUUAAAUAAACCCAUAUGCGAGAAAAACAAUAGCGAUCGCCAUCUUCAUGAGUUACAGUGCCUCCAUAAAAUGCAUGUUUUCAAACACCAUUACUUGACGUAGAUG